GUGUCAGCAGCCGCGGUAAUACGUAGGGUGCGAGCGUUGUCCGGAAUUAUUGGGCGUAAAGAGCUUGUAGGCGGUCUGUCGCGUCUGCUGUGAAAAUCCGGGGCUCAACCCCGGACCUGCAGUGGGUACGGGCAGACUAGAGUGUGGUAGGGGAGACUGGAAUUCCUGGUGUAGCGGUGAAAUGCGCAGAUAUCAGGAGGAACACCGAUGGCGAAGGCAGGUCUCUGGGCCAUAACUGACGCUGAGAAGCGAAAGCAUGGGGAGCGAACAGGAUUAGAAACCCCUGUAGUCC
rnacentral:rRNA from 1 species